rnacentral:tRNA from 1 species
GGGCCCGUAGCUUAGCAUGGUAGAGCGCUCGGCUGAUAAGUGACCUCAGACACCGAGAGGCCGAGGGUUCAAAUCCCUCCGGGCCCA